rnacentral:lncRNA from 1 species
GUGAUUUCGGUGAACGGAAUCCAAAGUACUAUACCUUGUGAUUUCGAUAAACGGAAUCCAAAGUGUUACAUUUUGUGAAUUUUGUUAAGGUUCGAAUCUCGUGACUACCGUUAGGUUUGAUUUGGGUUUUACACAAAUACGUAUUCCAUUCUGUUAAACUAUAUGUUUAACUACCAAAAAUACUCCCAACUACACACUCACAAUCAAACAAACUAUUAAAUCAUCAGAAGAUCCAGAAUAAUAAUGUGCAUGCUUAAUUAUCGGAAGAAGUAGAAUCAAGAAGCUUGUUAACUCAAUCUGGCAUGCUUAUAAAUUACAGCCGGUAUGUGGGGUUUUGUAUACAUUACUUGAUAAUCGUCACCAUUGGGGCAGCCAUUGGGUGAUAUGACCAUAAUCAUAGACACCAUUGGAUAGGUGGGCCAAUGGGUCGAGUGGUAAAGUACUGUGGGUAGUUGGUUUGAUAUCAGAAACAUUGUAAUCUCUCUUAAUACUGUGAAUUAUAACAAAUCUGUUUUUGCAUAAAACCUGAAUGAACUCACUCAGUAUUUCCCGCUGACAAAACCUUUUUAAAACGCGUUUCAGGUAAUUACAGUAGAUUGGAGUAAGGAUUGGAUCCAGCACUGAAGGACAACUUAAGAAAUAUUAUUUUGGGUUUAUCCCGUAUUAAAAGCUACCUUUGUAAAACAUGGAAUUUAUUCCAUCAAUUUAAAAUAAAAUCCGGUGUU